rnacentral:rRNA from 1 species
GCAGUCGGACGGUAGCACAGAGGAGCUUGCUCCUUGGGUGACGAGUGGCGGACGGGUGAGUAAUGUCUGGGGAUCUGCCCGAUAGAGGGGGAUAACCACUGGAAACGGUGGCUAAUACCGCAUAACGUCGCAAGACCAAAGAGGGGGACCUUCGGGCCUCUCACUAUCGGAUGAACCCAGAUGGGAUUAGCUAGUAGGCGGGGUAAUGGCCCACCUAGGCGACGAUCCCUAGCUGGUCUGAGAGGAUGACCAGCCACACUGGAACUGAGACACGGUCCAGACUCCUACGGGAGGCAGCAGUGGGGAAUAUUGCACAAUGGGCGCAAGCCUGAUGCACCCAUGCCGCGUGUAUGAAGAAGGCCUUCGGGUUGUAAAGUACUUUCAGCGGGGAGGAAGGCGAUGGGGUUAAUAACCUUAUCGAUUGACGUUACCCGCAGAAGAAGCACCGGCUAACUCCGUGCC